ACAUGCCUACAACAUAGCAUUAAUGCAUCGGAUCCCAUUAGAACUUCGUAGUUAAGGGCGCUCAGGCUAGAGUAGUACUGGGAUGGGUGAUCGCCUGAGAAGUCCUAGUGUUUUACAUGCA
rnacentral:rRNA from 1 species